UGGAAUGUAGCUCAGUUGGUAGAAAGCAUUUGCCUAGUGUGCACAAAGUUCUGGGUUUUAUUCCUAGCACCCCUA
rnacentral:tRNA from 2 species